UCCGUUUCAGCCGCACAGUAAAUUCUGGUUCCCACUUUUACCUACAGCCGUCCGAUUCAGUGAUUUUUUUCUCACCCGCUGCUGCUCGUUGAGGGUGUAUGACGUCUGGGUCCGCGCUUAAGUGGGACCACUUGUUUGCUACGGUGGGCAUCCGGAGUCGCGUCGCUCAGAAAAUGAAAUGCAGCGAAAACCUAACCUACCGCGAGCCUCUCCUCCCAAUCCCGUGCCUCCUCUCCUCUCCCCCAAUCGCGGCCUCCUCUCUUCCUUCCCAAUCAGCCGCCGCCUCGACCGGAGACGGGCUGGCGCGGGGCGGUUCCGCAGCGGCGGCGACGAGCGCGGCCGGAGACGGGCCGGCGCGGGCGGAUCCGCGGAGGGGCGACCCAAGGCGACGGGCGCGGCGCGGAGGACGGGAUUUGGUGGCGGAUCGAGCUCGGUGUCCUCUCCUCCCAAUCCCGUGCCCUCUCUCCUCUCCCCCAAUCCCGGCCUCCUCUCUUCCUUCCCAAUCAGCCGCCGCCUCGACCGGAGACGGGCCGGCGCGGGGCGGUUCCGCGGCGGCGGUGACGAGCGCGGCCGGAGAUGGGCCGGCGCGGGCGGAUCCGCGGAGGGGGCGACCCAAGGCGACGGGCGCGGCGCGGAGGAUGGGAUUUGGUGGCAGAUCGAGCUCAGUGGCCGGGAGCGGCAGAGCGAUGCAGAUGACGCAAGUACCAGCGUCUGGCGAGAGCAUCAAGAGGAACCUCGUUGGCGGGCAGCGUUGAGCGAAGCCCCACUGGGAGUGGCUGCGUUGGGAUCUCCACGCGUAGUCCCACUCCUGCAGUUGGUCGAUUAUUACAGCCCAUCGAAUGGCACCCUCUCUGCUUAUUUUGUCUUGUUGAACCAGACCAUCUCCUUGAUGCUAAUCCGCUUGAAAAAAUAGCACCAGUUUGCAGCUCUUCUCUCGUUGAAGGUGAAGCGGACCAUCUCCUUGAUGCUAAUCUGCUUGAAAAAAUAGCAGCAGCAAAGGAAACUGAUGAGUGUUGCCAGGUUGCUACCAUGUUCAGCGCUGAACUCUCGAUGAUAUCGUCAUCAUCCAAGUUGGUUGCUGCCACACCGGUCCUUGGGCCAGGAGAACCUACCAAUGAUUUUUAUUUUUCAUGUAGCUUGCUAUUUCUUAUUUUACAUGGAGGUUGCUUAAUUUGGUUUGAAUUAUGUCGCUUGAUGUUGUAUGCUCUGUGUAGCUGCAGCGGUUCAGUCCAUGGGGUCUUCUGCAAGGUACCCACAAUCGAUGCAGUAUUUACUUAUCUAAGUUUGGAGUGCUUUGAUCUUGUUAUGUAACAAUACUUUAUUAAGGUGAGCUAGACAACAUUUUUUCUGUUAAAAUAUGACACCUCAUUUCGUAUGUCGUUCAGUUCAUCUUAUAUUCGUCGUAUAGAGCAAAAUUCUACAGCAGUACAAGCUCUCGUGAAGAAUCAUGCUGAAUACUAAAAGCUGCUCUCCCAAAGAAAAGUCUACUUUCUAAUUACCCCAUGUAUUUGUCAUGUAAUUUAUUAUUAUUCUUUCCUGCAAGUUACUUUGGGGUUUUGUGAGAUUCAAUCAUUCUAAAUUCAGUAUUAUUUUCAACAUAGUCUGGGAUAAAAAGUAGUCACUACAGAGUGGUGUUUCAAAUUAUAUUACAUUAUGUUUUUCUAAUGAAUAAUCCUUUACUUGCUUCUUUCUUUAGCUUGAAAUUAGCCUUCUGGAGCAGAUCAGUUGAAAAUAGCUCUAUAGCAAUAGGAAAUUUAUGGGAACAAUGGUUAUCUGAUGGUAUCAUGCAAUGCUGACCUUAACCCAAUGCGAACUGCUGUCUGCGGAAGAAGAGAAGAAAGAUUUAUCAAUAAGGCCAAUAUGUGUGCAGAUCUUCUCCAUUCUAGAUCUGAACUCCUCUUGUUUCAUAAAGCACUAAGAGCGAAAAUAUUUGCAUUUGAGGAAUAUCCGCCACGAGCACCCUGGAGGGCGACACCUUCAUCGAAGCUCCCCGCCGUGUUGGGAGAGGAUGCGGGAGGAACGAUGGAAGAGGCAGAGCGGGAGUGGCGCUGCAGGAGGGUGUCUCGGAGGAAGGCGGAGGUGCGCCAGUGGAGUCCCCGGUGCUGGCCCGGCGGCCCGCGCCGAGAAGGUCAUACACUGCAGCUGGAAUAAGGACCGGUUGCGGCUGUGGCUACGUCGGGAUGGACGGCUGCUACUAGGGAGCGCUGAGCGGCGGCGGUGACUGGACGCUGCGAUGGCGGUAGCUGGACGCUGCAGCGCUGGCGUCUGGACGCGGAAACAGAGGUGGAGGGAGCGCGCACCCGGUACAGGCGAUGCGCAGAGGCCCGGCGACCUAGGAGGGCCUAUGGGUUUUUUCGAGACCGGAGAAGGUGCAUACGAAGCGGCGGCUCCUGCAUGCGUGCGACUUCCAGUGCUAUGUGAGGACGGCGGAUGUUGGAGGUGGCGCCGUCGAGGUUGCAUGCCUAGCACCGUGGAGGUUGCAGGCCUAGGGCCUGCACUCGUCAUGCCUUUGCGGCAGCCCGCUCCAGCCUCCAGCCUCCAGGUUCUGGUUUACAUGAUGAAUUGGCGACGAUACUGCAGAAGCAUCCGUUUCAUGCCUGCCUCAGAUGGCUAUAUCGAUGCAGUCAUGAUAAGGGAUUGUCCAAAUGCUGAUCUUUUAGAUUUGCUGCUCAAGAUGAGCAAUGAUACCAUUUGGGAUCUUUUGAGAGAUGUAGAGGUGGCCGAGGUCUACAUGUGGUGCCACUGAAACCAUAAUUGAGUUUUUUCUGUGUUCAUAAAAUAGAUUGCUUAGGACUCCUAUGAUGAACCUCUUACUGCAUGAUACUGCCAUCCAUGGUUUGUAUGUAUUUCCAUGUACAGAAAAUAAUAUAGCUGGUCCCUAUGAGCUGCUAGCAUUUGGAGGUUAGUUGCAUGCAUUUGGAGGUUAGCUGGAAGAAUGAUCACUUAUACUCGGUCUGCAAGCCUCCUCUUUUUAUUAGUUCCAUGUUUAAUUCUCUAUUUAUUAUUCAUCGGUGGCUUCUUUCCCUGCUCUGUUAUUAUUCCUGCAUGGUUAUUCAGAGUUGCUGUUGGAGGAGAGCAUUCGAAGGCCCUCUAUUUGGUUCCCUGUUCCUUCCAGUCCAUAAGCUAGAAUUGUGUUUUGCUUGCCUUCGUUGGUUUCCCGCGGUCUCAAUGCACUCUUGUCCUUCUGUUUCCUCCAGUGCUGUGUCUCUCAAGUGCACCUUGAUUAGUAAGAAUUUAGAAAUGGUUGCCAUUUUAUAAUACAAUUCAGUUAACUGGUGCGGAAGUGUUUAUGUGGAGCUAGCAGUUCAUCUUCCCCCUUUUCUUGUUGCAGUAUUUGUACACACUAAUUUUUCGUCUACAUGAUUCCCCAGUGUGAAAUUUGACUUAUGGUUACCCACUCAUCUUCCUUCUCAUUUCCUCCACUGAGACGCCUCCUUCAUUGAGAUGUAGUCUGUCAGCUCAAGGGCAUGCAACAUUCAUUGAGAUAUAGCAGCCAAUGAACAGCCUAAUGGAUCCCUCACACGAGUUGAGCCCCAAAACCUUUUUUGUGAGUUUCCCUACCAAAUGGCCUCAUUAUGAUGUGAGGUCCAUGGGAUCUAAAUCUUAGGGGUUUCUACAUUGUAGCUUCCAGUUCCGUUUCAAUUCAGUGUUCAUAGCGUCAACUAUAUUUUUAAUCAAUGCUUGUGUCUUAUUCUGUUGCCUCGUUUUUAUGCCUGUUCUUGUUAUUUCUGGUCAAGUGGUGAUUGGAAAAGGAUUUUUCUGAG